rnacentral:rRNA from 1 species
UUAAGCGACUAAGCGUACACGGUGGAUGCCCUGGCAGUCAGAGGCGAUGAAGGACGUGCUAAUCUGCGAUAAGCGUCGGUAAGGUGAUAUGAACCGUUAUAACCGGCGAUUUCCGAAUGGGGAAACCCAGUGUGAUUCGUCACACUAUCAUUAACUGAAUCCAUAGGUUAAUGAGGCGAACCGGGGGAACUGAAACAUCUAAGUACCCCGAGGAAAAGAAAUCAACCGAGAUUCCCCCAGUAGCGGCGAGCGAACGGGGAGCAGCCCAGAGCCUGAAUCAGUGUGUGUGUUAGUGGAAGCGUCUGGAAAGGCGCGCGAUACAGGGUGACAGCCCCGUACACAAAAAUGCACAUGCUGUGAGCUCGAUGAGUAGGGCGGGACACGUGGUAUCCUGUCUGAAUAUGGGGGGACCAUCCUCCAAGGCUAAAUACUCCUGACUGACCGAUAGUGAACCAGUACCGUGAGGGAAAGGCGAAAAGAACCCCGGCGAGGGGAGUGAAAAAGAACCUGAAACCGUGUACGUACAAGCAGUGGGAGCCUCUUUAUGGGGUGACUGCGUACCUUUUGUAUAAUGGGUCAGCGACUUAUAUUCUGUAGCAAGGUUAACCGAAUAGGGGAGCCGAAGGGAAACCGAGUCUUAACUGGGCGUUAAGUUGCAGGGUAUAGACCCGAAACCCGGUGAUCUAGCCAUGGGCAGGUUGAAGGUUGGGUAACACUAACUGGAGGACCGAACCGACUAAUGUUGAAAAAUUAGCGGAUGACUUGUGGCUGGGGGUGAAAGGCCAAUCAAACCGGGAGAUAGCUGGUUCUCCCCGAAAGCUAUUUAGGUAGCGCCUCGUGAAUUCAUCUCCGGGGGUAGAGCACUGUUUCGGCAAGGGGGUCAUCCCGACUUACCAACCCGAUGCAAACUGCGAAUACCGGAGAAUGUUAUCACGGGAGACACACGGCGGGUGCUAACGUCCGUCGUGAAGAGGGAAACAACCCAGACCGCCAGCUAAGGUCCCAAAGUCAUGGUUAAGUGGGAAACGAUGUGGGAAGGCCCAGACAGCCAGGAUGUUGGCUUAGAAGCAGCCAUCAUUUAAAGAAAGCGUAAUAGCUCACUGGUCGAGUCGGCCUGCGCGGAAGAUGUAACGGGGCUAAACCAUGCACCGAAGCUGCGGCAGCGACGCUUAUGCGUUGUUGGGUAGGGGAGCGUUCUGUAAGCCUGCGAAGGUGUACUGUGAGGUAUGCUGGAGGUAUCAGAAGUGCGAAUGCUGACAUAAGUAACGAUAAAGCGGGUGAAAAGCCCGCUCGCCGGAAGACCAAGGGUUCCUGUCCAACGUUAAUCGGGGCAGGGUGAGUCGACCCCUAAGGCGAGGCCGAAAGGCGUAGUCGAUGGGAAACAGGUUAAUAUUCCUGUACUUGGUGUUACUGCGAAGGGGGGACGGAGAAGGCUAUGUUGGCCGGGCGACGGUUGUCCCGGUUUAAGCGUGUAGGCUGGUUUUCCAGGCAAAUCCGGAAAAUCAAGGCUGAGGCGUGAUGACGAGGCACUACGGUGCUGAAGCAACAAAUGCCCUGCUUCCAGGAAAAGCCUCUAAGCAUCAGGUAACAUCAAAUCGUACCCCAAACCGACACAGGUGGUCAGGUAGAGAAUACCAAGGCGCUUGAGAGAACUCGGGUGAAGGAACUAGGCAAAAUGGUGCCGUAACUUCGGGAGAAGGCACGCUGAUAUGUAGGUGAAGCGACUUGCUCGUGGAGCUGAAAUCAGUCGAAGAUACCAGCUGGCUGCAACUGUUUAUUAAAAACACAGCACUGUGCAAACACGAAAGUGGACGUAUACGGUGUGACGCCUGCCCGGUGCCGGAAGGUUAAUUGAUGGGGUUAGCGGUAACGCGAAGCUCUUGAUCGAAGCCCCGGUAAACGGCGGCCGUAACUAUAACGGUCCUAAGGUAGCGAAAUUCCUUGUCGGGUAAGUUCCGACCUGCACGAAUGGCGUAAUGAUGGCCAGGCUGUCUCCACCCGAGACUCAGUGAAAUUGAACUCGCUGUGAAGAUGCAGUGUACCCGCGGCAAGACGGAAAGACCCCGUGAACCUUUACUAUAGCUUGACACUGAACAUUGAGCCUUGAUGUGUAGGAUAGGUGGGAGGCUUUGAAGUGUGGACGCCAGUCUGCAUGGAGCCGACCUUGAAAUACCACCCUUUAAUGUUUGAUGUUCUAACGUGGACCCGUGAUCCGGGUUGCGGACAGUGUCUGGUGGGUAGUUUGACUGGGGCGGUCUCCUCCUAAAGAGUAACGGAGGAGCACGAAGGUUGGCUAAUCCUGGUCGGACAUCAGGAGGUUAGUGCAAUGGCAUAAGCCAGCUUGACUGCGAGCGUGACGGCGCGAGCAGGUGCGAAAGCAGGUCAUAGUGAUCCGGUGGUUCUGAAUGGAAGGGCCAUCGCUCAACGGAUAAAAGGUACUCCGGGGAUAACAGGCUGAUACCGCCCAAGAGUUCAUAUCGACGGCGGUGUUUGGCACCUCGAUGUCGGCUCAUCACAUCCUGGGGCUGAAGUAGGUCCCAAGGGUAUGGCUGUUCGCCAUUUAAAGUGGUACGCGAGCUGGGUUUAGAACGUCGUGAGACAGUUCGGUCCCUAUCUGCCGUGGGCGCUGGAGAACUGAGGGGGGCUGCUCCUAGUACGAGAGGACCGGAGUGGACGCAUCACUGGUGUUCGGGUUGUCAUGCCAAUGGCACUGCCCGGUAGCUAAAUGCGGAAGAGAUAAGUGCUGAAAGCAUCUAAGCACGAAACUUGCCCCGAGAUGAGUUCUCCCUGACUCCUUGAGAGUCCUGAAGGAACGUUGAAGACGACGACGUUGAUAGGCCGGGUGUGUAAGCGCAGCGAUGCGUUGAGCUAACCGGUACUAAUGAACCGUGAGGAG